rnacentral:tRNA from 1 species
GCCGAAGUGGCGGAAUUGGCAGACGCGCUGGGUUCAGGGUCCAGUGGCCUCACGGUCGUGGGGGUUCGAGUCCCCCCUUCGGCACCA